AGAGCACUGGCUGCUCUUUCAGAGGACUGGGAGAUGAAAUAUGCUGUAAUUUCAGACUUGUAUUUGCAGGUUUAAAAAUUCAUCUGUGUCAGAGGGUCGAUCCUCUAGUCCUUGGUCUUUGCCACACAUAGCAAUGUCUGUUUUGUGUGACAUAUAUUGUUAUAGUUAUAAUAGUUGUUAAGAUCCUGUGCCCAAAAUAGUACUUUUUCUUAAUGAACUAAAAUAUAUGUUUAAUUAUAGGUGGAAUUAGAUGUUCUCAAGGCAUCACACAACAUGGGUCAGCUAAAAAGGAAAGCCACAAAUUACUUAGACCGACAAAGACUCUAGGAUCAAGUGAGCUGUAUCAGAAAAUGAGUCAAGACGAAAGAGGAAUGAACUUGACAUUAAUAAAGAUAAUUUAUUUUAAAAAUUUG